AGAUGUGGAUUAUUCCAUCCUUGUGGGUGUGACCUAGAAGGCUGUAUUUUGGUUCCUGUCUCCUCUCUCUUUCUUGGCUGCCGUGGGUUGAGCAGCACUCCUGCUGUACAUCCUUUUACCAUUCUAUAUCCGCCUUGCAGCCGGCCAACUAUGGAUUGAACCCUCUGAAAAAUUGGCUGCGAUUAUAGCUGCUAUUUGAGCUCAUCGUAGAUCACAAUGAUUCUCCAUGAUUCAUUUUGUUUCUAGAGGAUAGAAUGGCAAGAUAAACAGUGAUACGAUUGGGACCACUGCUCUUGCAUAUUUUAUGGGCUGGGAAUUUAGCUCAGUGACGCUACCACCUGC